AUCGAACGCUGGCGGCAGGCCUAAUACAUGCAAGUCGAACGAGUGGCGGACGGGUGAGUAAUGUCUGGGAAACUGCCUGAUGGAGGGGGAUAACUACUGGAAACGGUAGCUAAUACCGCAUACCAUCGGUUCUUCCCAGAUGGGUUUAGCUAGUGGGUGGGGUAAAGGCUCACCUAGGCGACGAUCCCUAGCAGGUCUGAGAGGAUGACCAGCCACACUGGAACUGGGACACGGCCCGGACUCCUACGGGAGGCAGCAGUGGGGAAUCUUGCACAAUGGGCGCAAGCCUGAUACAGCCCUGCCGCGUGUAUGAAGAAGGCCUUCGGGUUGUAAAGUACUUUCGGCAGGGAGGCGUUACCCGCAGAGAAAGCACCGGCUAACUCCGUGCCAGCAGCCGCGGUAAUAC
rnacentral:rRNA from 1 species